UCUCCGUUGGUGAACCAGCGGAGGGAUCAUUACUGGAAUCGCAAGAUCCCACAACCCCUGUGAACCUACCGAAACGUUGCCUCGGCGGGCGCCCGUCCCCGCGCCCGGCGCUGAGCCCGCCGGCGGCCCCCUACUCUUGUCUCUGCAGCGCGGCCUCUCAGAGUCCCAGAAAACAAGUAAAAACUUUCAACAACGGAUCUCUUGGCUCUA
rnacentral:misc_RNA from 1 species